rnacentral:rRNA from 1 species
GCUUGUCUCAAAGAUUAAGCCAUGCAUGUCUAAGUAUAAGCACCCUUAUACUGCGAAACUGCGUACAGCUCAUUAUAUCAGCAAUUAUUUAUUUGAAGGUCACCUAUUACAUGGAUAACCGUGGUAAUUCUAGAGCUAAUACAUGUGCCCAAGCCCGACUCCGUGGAAGGGUUGUGUUUAUUAGUUACAGAACCAACCGAUGCUUGCAUCGUCUUGUGGUGAUUCAUAAUAACCGAACGAAUCGCAUGGCUUUGCUGGCGAUAUAUCUUCUAAGUUUCUGACCUAUCAGCUUUCGACGGUAAGGUAUUGGCUUACCGUGGCAAUGACGGGUAACGGAGAAUUAGGGUUCGAUUCCGGAGAGGGAGCCUGAGAAACGGCUACCACAUCUAAGGAAGGCAGCAGG